CUGGUUGAUUCUGCCAGUAGUCAUAUGCUUGUCUCAAAGAUUAAGCCAUGCAUGUCUAAGUAUAAGCCCUUGUACGGCGAAACUGCGAAUGGCUCAUUAAAACAGUUAUCGUUUCUUUGAUAAUCAUUUACUACAUGGAUACCUGUAGUAAUUCUAGAGCUAAUACAUGCGUCAAUGCCCGACUUCUCGGAAGGGUUGCAUUUAUUAGAUACAAAACCGACCCGAGGUUCGCCUCGGAACCGUUGGUGAUUCAUAAUAACUAAGCGAAUCGCAUAGGCUUGCCUGGCGAUGGAUCUUUCAAGUUUCUGACCUAUCAGCUAUCGACGGUAGGGUAUUGGCCUACCGUGGCUAUGACGGGUAACGGAGAAUCAGGGUUCGAUUCCGGAGAGGGAGCCUGAGAAACGGCUACCACAUCUAAGGAUGGCAGCAGGCGCGCAAAUUACCCAAUCCUGACACAGGGAGGUAGUGACAAGAAAUAACAAUGCAGGGCUUCACAGUCUUGCAAUUGGAAUGAGUAGAUUUUAAAUCUCUCUACGAGUAACAAUUGGAGGGCAAGUCUGGUGCCAGCAGCCGCGGUAAU
rnacentral:rRNA from 1 species